AUUGAACGCUGGCGGUAGGCUUAACACAUGCAAGUCGAGCGGAGCGGCGGACGGGUGAGUAAUGCCUAGGCAUCUGCCUGGUAGUGGGGGAUAACGUCCGGAAACGGGCGCUAAUACCGCAUCCUAUCAGUUGAGCCUAGGUGGGAUUAGCUAGUUGGUGGGGUAAAGGCCUAGCAAGGCGACGAUCCGUAACUGGUCUGAGAGGAUGAUCAGUCACACUGGAAAUAGUACUCGGGCCGGUGUCCUACGUCAGGCAGCAGUGGGGAAGAUUGGACAAUGGGCGAAAGCCUGAUCCAGCCAUGGCGCGUGUGUGAAGAAGUUCGUCGGAUUGUAAAGCACUUUAAGUUGGGAGGCGUUACCGACAGAAUAAGCACCGGGUAACUUCGUGCCAGCAGCCGCGGGAAAUG
rnacentral:rRNA from 1 species